ensembl:rRNA 5S_rRNA 5S ribosomal RNA
GCUUACGGCCACACCGCCUGUUAUACGCUUGAUCUCGGAAGAUAAGGUAGGUUGGGCCUGGUUAGUACUUGGAUGGGAGACCGCCUGGGAAUACCAGGUGCUGUAAGCU